rfam:Sarcophilus harrisii ctg7180002418730, whole genome shotgun sequence.
CCCCUGGUGGUCUAGUGGCUAGGAUUCGGCGCUUUCACCGCCGAGGCCCGGGUUCGAUUCCCGGUCAGGGAA